UAGUAGCUCAGCUUGGUAGAGCACAAGACUCUUAAUCUCCUUGUCAUGGGUUCGAGCCCCACAUAGGGCAAAA